rnacentral:lncRNA from 1 species
AACAUUCUAAAUCUGGAGAAACGAAGAAAGACAAAAAUAAAUGGUUAACAUUUUAAUAUGUGUGCGUGGACAGCAAUAAACGGAAAGCGAGCAAUAGACGGAAAAAGUUAAAAGUAUUGGAUGUCAAACUUGUAGAGCACAAGGGGCAGAAGUGUAUAAUAAGCUCAUGCUUACAGGAAACGGAACUGUUUAUAAAGUAAAACGAUCGAAACUAGAGGGCAGUGUAAAAGCUGGGCAAUAUCUUUAAGAACCAUAUAUAUAUUUGU